rnacentral:rRNA from 1 species
GGGUCAGUAGGUUGGUCGUGCCACCGGUACGUACUGGUCUCACUGAUUCCUCCUUCUUGAAGAACCGUAAUGCCAUUAAUUUGGUGUUGCGGGGAAACAGGACUGUUACUUUGAAAAAAUUUGAGUGUUUAAAGCAAGCUAACGCUUGAAUACAUUAGCAUGGAAUAAUGAAAUAGGACGAUCGAUCCUAUUUUGUUGGUUUCUAGGAUUGACGUA